rnacentral:lncRNA from 1 species
AGAUUUUUUUUUAGACCUCAGAGAGCUAAAGACUUUUUUUGAAGACUUCCAACAUCCAGACUUCCAGUGUUUGCAAAUCAGCUAUUCUGUGCACAGUCCAAGAUGUGGCGCCAUUUAUGAUAGCUGAAAACUUAAUAAUGUCCUGUAUCAUUUUAAUGACUGGAGUGUGACUUUGUUCUCAGCACAAUGAGUAACAAAGCCAAAACACUGGAGAAUACGUUUACGUAUUCAAGAAAACCUCAGACAAGGAAGAAUGCUUUCAUAAUACAGUACAUUAAAAUCAGACGAAGCCUCGAAGGGCAGAAUCACCGACCCUGAAAAAUCAGAGUGUACUACAGAAGAAGACGACAGCGUUUGAGCACAUUUGUUGAAGCAGCCUCCUCUCCCUUAUGGUACGAUAAUCCCACACCGUUUUACCAUGCUCUCUGGCCUUCCCAGAACAUCAAUAAAAACUGCAUCCCCUGACUUUUCUUGGUGGUUUCUGUUAUCUUCCCUAAACUUUAAUUUAAUGUGAUCUUACUUAGGCAUUUCUCUUAGAGAGUAGGUCAUUAUAACGAAGCAUUUUUCACCCUCUGGGAAAGAGGUUUCCACAUAAGGGCCAGGCCACGUUUUCCCUUUCAUCCAGGGAUUCUACCAUAAGCAGCCUCUCAUCUUCACUUUUCCCAAAAAUUUUCUUAAAAUCAGUGUAUUUUUUUGCAGGACCGGAUAUCACAUUACAUUCUCUAGUUGGGGGUGGGGGGCGGGAUGGGAAGUGAGAACAAAGAACGAUAACUCCCGAAGUGAUUUUUUAAAAUGUAAACUUUCUUAUGAAGCAUAACAUAGACACGUGCCAACAUUAAGCGUACAGCUCCAUGAAAUUUUAUGCAGACACUCACUCAUGAAACCACAACUAGAACAGGAAAUAGGAUUUUGCCAGCACUCCUAUAAGGCACCUUGCAGUCGCUCCCCUCCCCUACCCCACUCCAGAACAUAACAAGCUCAUUUUCUGACUUCUAUCACUGUAGAUUAAUUUGCCGCUUUUCCAAACUUCCGUAAAUGGAAUCGGACAGUACAUACUCUUUGGUACCUGGCUCAAUAUUCUGUUCCUUGAGUGUGCUGAAGCAGUCAUUUGUUCAAUUUUAUUGCUGACUCAUAUUCUGUGCUAUGAAAAUGUAACAAUUUAUUUUUCCAUUCUACCACUAAUGGGCCUCUAGAGUCUUUCUACUAUUUGACCAUAAUGGAAAAUGCUGCAAUAAAAAUUGUUGUGCACGUCUUUUGAGAGCACAUGUACCUAUUUCUGUGGAUAUAUACCUAGACGUGUAAUAUCUGGGUCAUAAAUAGUCGUGUGCCUAUGCAGGCUUGCAGUGCCUCAUGAGAGCCUAGUUUUUGCAGUCUAAUUGUUAAAAAUAGCCAUAACUGAAAAUUAAGUUAUGUAAAC